GACCCCCUGAGCACUAGCGAUCAUCGCCUACUGGAAUUCACCAUCCAGCACAGAGUGGCAAAGGCCAGCAGCAAGACAGUAACCCUGGACUUCAGGAGGGUGGAUUUCAAUGAAGUAAGGAGA